rnacentral:tRNA from 1 species
GGUUGGUGAGAUGGCUCAGUGGUUAAGAGCGCCGACUGCUCUUCCGAAGGUCCCGAGUUCAAAUCCCAGCAACCA